rnacentral:tRNA from 1 species
AAAAAGGUAGUGUUAAAUGCUAUGCACGGAAAAUUUUGGAUUUUUUAGUGGGAUUUUAUUGUUCUCCCUUUUUG